AUUGAACGCUGGCGGCAGGCCUAACACAUGCAAGUCGAACGGUAACAGGAAGCAGCUUGCUGCUUCGCUGACGAGUGGCGGACGGGUGAGUAAUGUCUGGGAAGCUGCCUGCUGGAGGGGGAUAACUACUGGAAACGGUAGCUAAUACCGCAUAAUGUCGCAAGCCCAAUGAGGGGGACCUACGGGCCUCUUGCCAUCGGAUGUGCCCAGAUGGGAUUAGCUUGUUGGUGGGGUAACGGCUCACCAAGGCGACGAUCCCUAGCUGGUCUGAGAGGAUGAACAGCCACCCUGGACCGGAGCCGCGGUCCAGGCUCCUACGGGAGGCACCAGUGGGGUAUGUUGCACAGUGGGCGGAGUCCUGAUGCAGCCCUGCCACGUCUGUUGAGAAGACCUUCGGGUUGUAAAGGUCUUCUGCCGGUGAGGAAGGGAGUAAAGUUAAUACCUUUGCUCAUUGACGUUACCCGCAGAAGAAGCACCGGCUAACUCCGUG
rnacentral:rRNA from 1 species